GAUGAACGCUGGCGGCGUGCUUAACACAUGCAAGUCGAACGGGAUCCAAGGGGUGCUUGCACUUUUUGGUGAGAGUGGCGAACGGGUGAGUAACACGUGAGUAACCUGUCCUUUUCUUUGGGAUAAGCAUUCGAAAGGGUGUUUAAUACCUUAUGUUCUGUCUGCCUCGCAUGGGGUGGGUGGGAAAGGCUUUGGCCGGAUUUGGGUGGGCUCGCGGUCUAUCAGCUUGUUGGUGGGGUGAUGGCUUACCAAGGCUUUGACGGGUAGCCGGCCUGAGAGGGUGGUCGGUCACAUUGGGACUGAGAUACGGCCCAGACUCCUGCGGAGGCAGCAGUGGGGGAUAUUGCACAAUGGGCGAAAGCCUGAUGCAGCGACGCCGCGUGGGGGAUGAAGGCCUUCGGGUUGUAAACUUCUUUUGCUCUGAACAAGGCAUGCCAGUGGGUGUGUUGAGUGUAGGGGUUGAUUAGCGCCGGCUAACUACGUG
rnacentral:rRNA from 1 species